GUCGGCUUGAGUAACGAAAACAUUGGUGCGAAUCCAAUGCCCCGAAAACCGUUGGGUUCCUCCACUAGGUUCGUCCAUGGAGGGUUAGUCAGGUCCUAAGAUUAGGCCAAACGGCGUCGUCGAUGGCAAACAGGUUAAUAUUCCUGUACUGAUUUUAUUGGGUACCAAGGGACGAAGGAGACUAAACUAGAACUGCUACUGGAUUUCAGUGGAAGCGUUUAGGUGUUGAGAGUUAGAAGAAAAACUAUACUCGAGCUAAGGCGUGAUCCCUAUUCUUAUUUUUUAUAAGAGUAGCUAAAAAAACUUUAUGUUUAGUGAUGUCAUACUUCCUAGAAAAGCUUGAACACCAUUAACAAUAGAAUCACCUGUACCUAAAACCGACACAGGUAGGUUGGUAGAGAAUACCAAGGGGCGCGAGAGAACUCUCUCUAAGGAACUCGGCAAACUGGCCCCGUAACUUCGGAAGAAGGGGCGCUGAUUUUCUACAAUCAGCCGCAGUUGACAGGCUAAGGCAACUGUUUAUCAAAAACACAGGUCUCCGCAAAGUCGAAAGACAAUAUAUGGGGGCUGACGCCUGCCCAGUGCCGGAAGGUUAAGGAAGUUUGUUAUGCUCCCCCCUUUGGGCUCCUGCUUCCAAAAAGCAGGGGAUGGAGAAAAAGCUGACAACCGAAGCCCCGGUGAACGGCGGUCGUAACUAUAACGAUCCUAAGGU
rnacentral:rRNA from 1 species